rnacentral:rRNA from 1 species
AGUUAAAGCUCGUAGUUGGAUUUUGGUUAAGAGGGCGCGGUCGGCCGUUUGGUCUGUACUGCGUUGUCUUGACUUCCUGAUGAGGACAUGCUCUUGGUUAACGCUGAGACAUGGAGUCAUCGUGGUUACUUUGAAAAAAUUAGAGUGUUCAAAGCGGGCUUACGCUUGAAUAUAUUAGCAUGGAAUAACACUAUAGGACUCCUGUCCUAUCUCGUUGGUCUCGGGAUGGGAGUAAUGAUUAAGAGGAACAGUUGGGGGCAUUCGUAUUUCAUUGUCAGAGGUGAAAUUCUUGGAUUUAUGAAAGACGAACUUCUGCGAAAGCAUUUGCCAAGGAUGUUUUCAUUAAUCAAGAACGAAAGUUGGGGGCUCGAAGAUGAUUAGAUACCAUCCUAGUCUCAACCAUAAACGAUGCCGACUAGGGAUUGGUGGAUGUUAAUUGAUGACUUCACCAGCACCUUAUGAGAAAUCAAAGUUUUUGGGUUCCGGGGGGAGUAUGGUCGCAAGGCUGAAACUUAAAGGAAUUGACGGAAGGGCACCACCAGGCGUGGAGCCUGCGGCUUAAUUUGACUCAACACGGGGAAACUUACCAGGUCCAGACAUAAGUAUGAUUGACAGAUUGAGAGCUCUUUCUUGAUUCUAUGGGUGGGGGGGGCAUGGCCGUUCUUAGUUG